UACGGGGGGGGGGCAAGCGUUGUUCGGAAUUACUGGGCGUAAAGGGCGCGUAGGCGGCCCGCUAAGUCGAACGUGAAAUCCCCGGGCUCAACCCGGGAACUGCGUCCGAUACUGGUGGGCUCGAAUCCGGGAGAGGGAUGCGGAAUUCCAGGUGUAGCGGUGAAAUGCGUAGAUAUCUGGAGGAACACCGGUGGCGAAGGCGGCAUCCUGGACCGGUAUUGACGCUGAGGCGCGAAAGCCAGGGGAGCAAACGGG
rnacentral:rRNA from 1 species